rnacentral:rRNA from 1 species
ACGUACACUCCUGCGGGAGGCAGCAGUGGGGAAUUUUGGACAAUGGGCGAAAGCCUGAUCCAGCCAUGCCGCGCGCAGGAUGAAGGCCUUCGGGUUGUAAACUGCUUUUGUACGGAACGAAACGGCCUUUUCUAAUAAAGAGGGCUAAUGACGGUACCGUAAGAAUAAGCACCGGCUAACUACGUGCCAGCAGCCGCGGUAAUACGUAGGGUGCAAGCGUUAAUCGGAAUUACUGGGCGUAAAGCGUGCGCAGGCGGUUAUGUAAGACAGUUGUGAAAUCCCCGGGCUCAACCGGGGAACUGCAUCUGUGACUGCAUAGCUAGAGUACGGUAGAGGGGGAUGGAAUUCCGCGUGUAGCAGUGAAAUGCGUAGAUAUGCGGAGGAACACCGAUGGCGAAGGCAAUCCCCUGGACCUGUACUGACGCUCAUGCACGAAAGCGUGGGGAGCAAACAGGAUUAGAAACCCGAGUAGUCCC